ensembl:ncRNA F36H1.17 ncRNA
GGUGGCACUCAUGGUGUACUCGGUUGUGUGCGGGCCUUUCAUUCUUAUACUCCCAGGUUCGACACCACCGGUGCACUUUUGUGUCACCA